GAUCUGGCAGCUUAGAAGCACCAGUAACAUUUUUCCGGAUAGCGUGUGGCUGCUUGCUGCUAUUGCUUAUACAGCUAACUGCUGCCACACUUAUGUAGCCAGAAGCGGGAGAAGAGGCUCUUUAAUGUUACACAGGUGACAGCAUUCAAAAAAAUGGAGUUAAGUCACAAAUACACCAGGCAGCAGCAAUGCACUGUGGUUCCGGGCUGCUACUGAGUUAUAUUCAGAAGACCACAUAAUAAUAAACACAGAGUAGCAUCAUAAUUCUUUUAUUCCAUGAGAUCAUAAAAGUUAUUAAAAUUAUGAAUUGUGAACAAUUUUGAGCCAGUUUGUUUUAGUUUGUCAUUCAGUUCAAAUGUAGGUGUCAAUAAAAAAUUAGUGUUCACUGAUACAAUGUAUUAAUUCUUCUAACUCAAGAAGCUAAUGUCUAUUGCUGGGAUGGUAUCUAUUCUCACCAGUAAAAGGAAUUCUGUAAGUAUGUGACCUGCUAAAUGUUGAGUGCAGAGCUGGUGUAUGAUAUAACAGUCGCAAUUCCGAUGCUUUGUUAUUACUGGGAGGUAAACUGAAGCUAAGGCUAUUAUUUACUCAAGAGGCAAGAGUUAUGGUAACUUACAGUACAUGCCAAGUAACCUUUAGAAACUGUAAACUGAUUCAUCAAUGGCAAAUUAAUGUUGAGUUAACGUUAAAAAGUAGAAAAGAAAAGGAAGGACAACAAGGUGGUGGUGGUGGUGGUGGUGGUGGUGGUGGUGGUGGUGGUGGAGCGACACAUACUUCUCAGGCGUUUUAUUGUGGAAAACACGGUCUGACCAGUUUAUUGAUUUUGAAAGAUACACAAACUUUCUCCUCAUUUUAUAAUAAGAAUGCCAUAAUGUGGUAUGAUAUUUACCUAAAGAAAAUCACACAAGAAGACAUCAAUAUGGUGUUUAUAAAAUUUUAAUUGAACAGAUUUUCUUUUUAUAUGAAAGCUUCAAAUCAAAACAUUUUACUGUACACAGCCAUAACAACAUUCCUUGAACAAAUAAAUAUAAUUAAGGAACAUCAAAUGCAAUACUUAUAGUUUAAUUAAAUGCAUUGUCCAUAGAUUAAUCUAAUUUUUGAACACUAAAAAGUAAAUAAAAUCAUUAAAAAACUGAUAAUACCCAAAAAACGUUCUAUUGUAAAUAUAUCUCUCAAUGAUUUCUUUACUGAAUAAAAUACUGUUCCAACAGUAACCUUCAUUUUACAAAAGCCACACAUGAUAUGGAAAUUUCUAAUUUGUAGGUUACAGUUUUUAUAAAAUGGUGAAGUAAUGUAGCGACCACAAAAGCACUAGGCAAUAAAUUAUAUAUGAAACUCAUAAUGUAAAACGACACUGCUAAUGAUUAUUCUUCAAACAGAGGAAACUACACAACCUGAAUACCGAAAUAAAAACAGAAUAACAAAGUAUACCUAUGUUCCUGACUUUCAUAGGACAUUAACUGCACCCAAAUUUUCAUCAAAACAAAGCUACAACUUCUUUGGUAUGUAAUUUCCAGUCAGUGCAUUUUUCACAAUAUAUGUUCAGGAACCAGAGCUACCACAAGUUCACAUAUUAAUACAGGUAACGUGAGAUAUUUCAUUACUCAUGAAAUGCCUGAAAAUUAUUUUUGGUGUACAGACAACGUAAAUGCACUGCCUGACUCCAUGUACAUUGAAUAUGAAUUUGAGAGUUUCUGGCAGUGAUAUGCUAAUUUAUAUCACAUCAAUAUACAAACAUUUUAAAACUACACAAAUAUAGUUUGUUAGGGCCUGUUCUGGUUGUCCAAUUAAGACAUGUGGCACUAUUAUGUGACUAACAUUUGCCACUGACAUAACUAGUCAGCAGCUUUGUGAAAGUGACUGCUGUCCAUACCAAACACUACAACCAUUCAACUGUGAAUAUUUUAUCCAGAAAGCAAUUCUAAUGAGUGCACAACCUUCCCAAAUUGUGUGUGAAGUUUCAUAUCAGUUUUAAUAAACAAACAAAUCCUUACCAUUUACAGUUACAAAAGAAUCUGUAAAAAAAUUAAAAGUAACUCCCCCCCCCCCCCCCCGUAUGUGUGUGUGUGUGUGUGUGUGUGUGUGUGUGUGUGUGUGUGAGAGAGAGAGAGAGAGAGAGAGAGAGAGAGAGAGAGAGAGAGAGAGAGGGGGGGGGGGAGGGGGGGCAUGGGAAAGAGGGACAUAUAUCAUGGAACAAAUUGUUGUUCCGUGUCUUUCAAAGUAUUUCCAUUUUAGACAGGCAAGGACUAAAUUGUCUUGCUUUUUUGUUGAGUUUUGAAAAAUCUACAGCUGAUUGUUACAAGGUGAAUUCCAUGACAGUUAGCAGUUAUUCAAUGAUCACCAUAUUCUAACGAAUGCUGAGUUUGGUCUAAGUAUGUUUGAAUACAAACACUGUACACAUUCCUCAAAAAAUAAACUUGAUGGGUUGACACAUGAGUGAGAGAGCUUUAUAAUCUUCUGCUCAAAAACCUGCAUAGCAUAAGCUAUAAAUGCGACUUAGAGUAAUACAAAAG